GCGCGAACAUCUGCUGCUACAGCAAUGCAGGAGUGAGGAGACGCGAUGUAUAGAGCAGUGAGGGAGCAAAACCCGGAGCGGAGUCCGGCCCCUUCACUGGAACGGAGUGCGGAGAGCCUUGGAUACGACGCGUCAUCUCCAUCUGUACAGCUCCAGUACCUUUGAUGAAGACUAGAGGAUCUUCAUCGACACCAAACCAGAAAUGUGUACACUGAUUAUUUAUAUACUGUGCAUAAUCAUUAAAAUUAUUAUUAUUAUCCCUUUAAAAAAAGAAAAGUAAUUUUAUUGUUAUGCAGACAAGCAAGUAUGCCAUAUACCAUGCUGUAUAUUAAAUUUAUUUAUUUAUACCAUGGUCUGUCCGAAUACUCAAUUCUGAUUGGCUGGAAGGUGUACAUUAAAACCGUUAAACGCACAGGUAGUUCCAAGUCAGUUUAAUCACCAUUCUAUAUUAAUGCACUGCACGGACAUGCAUAUUGUUACGAUUGGGUCCUCUGCACCAGAUCUCUCGGGCAGCCAGAGGGAGCCCUUGCCAGAGUACUAGUUACAUUCGGACUACAUUUCCCAUAGAUCCACAUACCUGGGACUGAUCACGUCUGCACAUGCCGCCAAUCAUCUCAUUACAACACUCUAUUUAACAUGCACUCUCACUACAGUUCUUUGUGAAGUCUUGAUCAGCCACAGUUAUAAUUUCUGAGCGUUUAUUACUGAUUGUCUGCCUGUUACUGAUUGGAUUGUUAUUCUGGACUGUGAUUCUUGCUGCCUGCCCAUUGUCUUGCCUGUUUUUGUUUAUCCCUGUCUGCCGCCUGCCUCGAACCUCUGCCUGUCCCUGUUUACCCUGUCUGCUGCCUGCCACGACCCCUGGCCUGUAUUCUGGUUUAUGAUUCCUGUAUUGCCCUUGUUACUGAAUAAACUGCAAAUGGAUCAUCA